rnacentral:rRNA from 1 species
UACGUAGGGGGCAAGCGUUGUCCGGAUUUAUUGGGCGUAAAGAGCGUGUAGGCGGCCAGGUAGGUCGGUUGUGAAAACUCGAGGCUCAACCUCGAGAUGUCGACCGAAACCAUCUGGCUAGAGUCCGGAAGAGGAGAAUGGAAUUCCCGGUGUAGCGGUGAAAUGCGCAGAUAUCGGGAAGAACACCCGUGGCGAAGGCGGUUCUCUGGGACGGUACUGACGCUGAGGAGCGAAAGCGUGGGGAGCAAACAGG